AUGGGAAACAGGACGCUGUACCCCACAAACUCCCUGGAAGAGAACAGGGUGGGGCUGCAGAAACCUCUACAGAGCCUGGCACGGAUGCCAGCAGCCCGGAUAGAGCCCAGGCGGCUGUGUUGGCACCACUCUGCUGCCGGAGAUGAGGGUGGAGAUCUCCCUGGCUUGCUUGGAGAAGAAAAGAAUGGAGCAUCUGCCAGCAGGAAUGCGGAAGAAGAGGAGGGACUCCUGCAGCCGUUAGCCUUGCACAUCCCCUGUGUCCAGUGCAUCUCCACACUCCCCUCCUCCAGGAAGCCUGCCCUGGUCACCCUACCCGCCUCGAGCCUGCACCGGCUCUGUGCCCACACACGAUCCCAGCCCUCCCCCACCCCAGCCCUACUCUUCAGGGACCAUGGGGGGGGGGAUGUCGUCCCUCCAGCAGCUGGCCGAGCCAUGGGAGGGGAACUGGAGUCCCACUGCCCACCACCACCAUGUGUGGAAGAGAAGAAGACAGCCAGGGUCCAGGUCAAAGGGGAAGUGUUGGCGGGGGAGGGUGGGCGACACGCUGAUGGCUUUCUCUUCCCACCUGCUGAAUGCUCCCUGUCCCAAGAAGGGGGCCACCCUGCAGUCCACUCAAGGACACUGGCUCCUCCUAGCGGAUUUAGGGCUGACUGUGGGAAACUCGAAAACAAGCUCCUGUCUCCCUGUGGGAAACCUUCUAGCCACAGGCUGGGUCUGCAGUGGACUGCAGUUGCCACCUUCCUCUAUGCGGAGGUCUUCGUUGUGUUCCUUCUCUGCAUUCCCUUCAUUUUUCACAAAAGAUGGCAGAUGAUGUUCAAGUCCUGGCUGGCAGAGUUGGUAGUGUCCUGUGGCAACACGUUCUUUGUGGUUUUCAUUGUCAUUCUUGUGCUGCUGGUCAUCGACGCUGCCCAUGAGAUUUGGAAGUAUGAUCAUGUGACUGAGGAGGUGAACCUCAAAUUCUGGGCCAUGGAACACUCCACAUGAAGCUUUUCCAUGCCCAGAGGAAUCUCUACAUUGCUGGCUUUUCCUUGCUGCUGUAUUUCUUGCUUAGACACUAUCUCGCAGCAGGCUGGACUCCGAAGAAGCCUUUAAAAAGCAGUGAGGCAGAGUGCUAGUGAGGCAGCCAAGAAGUACAGGGAGGAGAAUGACAAGCUCAAGAAGGGAGGAGCUGCUAUUGACGGAGGCAAGUUGGACAUCUGAGGUGAAGUUGGAGGGAGAGAACAGGAGCCUGAAGGCUGACCUGAAAAGCUGGCCAGCACUAAGCAAAAACUAGAGCAAGCUGAAAACCAGGCUCUGGCCAUGUGGAAGCAGUCUGAGGGCCUCACCAAGGAGUACGACCCUGCUGGAGGGGCACACAAAGCUGCAGGCUGCAGCAGAUGGUCCCACUGACAAGAAGGAGGAGUGAGGGCCUCCCUGCUCCCCUGCCUGCAGCCGGCUCCCGCGUGGCCCAUGCCGGCUGCUUCCUGAGAGCCUGGCCUCUCCCUCUGGCACUUCUGUUCGUGCCCUUCUGCUUCCCCUAUUCCCUUCCACAGCGCAUAGCUCAUCAUCUCGGCCCCUGUCCACACUCUCCCAGCACGCCACAGGAGACCUGAUUACCACACGUUCAGAAUGCAUUCACUGUCAUCCUGCUUGGCCUGGCCAGGGCUGCCACGCCUGAGCGUGGAGGGCACGAGUUAGCUGUAGUCUGGCUUGCAGUGGGGCUGGCUCCCUGUUGGUUUGAGCCUCCUUUUUCUUUUGCCCUCUGGGUGUUUCCUUUGGUCCUACAGGAGGGUCGGUGAAGCAGGUGGCCUGGAGUUUCUCUUGAGGGCAGUAAAAGUCGCCAUAGUGUGUAAAA